UCGGAAGUAGCUUAAUUGGUAGAGCAUCUGACUCUGAAUCAGAAGGUUGAAGGUUCGAGUCCUUCCUUCCGAG
rnacentral:tRNA from 1 species